AUUGAACGCUGGCGGCAGGCCUAACACAUGCAAGUCGAGCGGCAGCAGGGAGCUUGCUCCUGGAUUCAGCGGCGGACGGGCGAGUAAUGCCUAGGAACAUGCCUGGUAGCGGGGGAUAACGUCCGGAAACGGGCACUAAUACCGCAUACGUCCAGAGGGAGAAAGUGGGGGAUCUUCGGACCUCACGCUAUCAGAUGAGCCGAGGUCGGAUUAGCUAGUUGGUGGGGUAAAGGCCUACCAAGGCGACGAUCCGUAACUGGUCUGAGAGGAUGAUCAGUCACACUGGAACUGAGACACGGUCCAGACUCCUACGGGAGGCAGCAGUGGGGAAUAUUGGACAAUGGGCGAAAGCCUGAUCCAGCCAUGCCGCGUGUGUGAAGAAGGUCUUCGGAUUGUAAAGCACUUUUAGUUGGGAAGAAAGGCAGUAGGUUAAUACCUUGCUGUUUUGACGUUACCAACAGAAUAAGCACCGGCUAACUUCGUG
rnacentral:rRNA from 1 species